rnacentral:sRNA from 1 species
AUAUUGAAAAACACCAGAUGAUCUGCUUGGAGAGGACAUAAACAGGCCAAGCGGAUGCAGGUUAAUAAAACCCGAAAAAGCCCAGACAGGAACACUUAAAAUGCCUAGAACAAAGCACACCGUGACAAAUUCUCACCCAACACACAAGUACACGCACCACGGUAAUGUUCCCAGGCAG